rnacentral:misc_RNA from 1 species
GAUGAAGAACGCAGCGAAAUGCGAUACGUAAUGUGAAUUGCAGAAUUCAGUGAAUCAUCGAAUCUUUGAACGCAUAUUGCGCUCUUUGGUAUUCCGAAGAGCAUGCUUGUUUGAGUAUCAGUAAACACCUCAAAGCUUUUGGAUUUUUUAAUCGAAAAGCUUUGGACUUGAGCAAUCCCAACACCAAUCUUUUUGAGAUCGGUGGCGGGUUGCUUGAAAUGCAGGUGCAGCUGGACAUUCUCCUGAGCUAAAAGCAUAUUCAUUUAGUCCCGUCAAACGGAUUAUUACUUUUGCUGCAGCUAACAUAAGGGAGUUUGACCGUAUUGGCUGACUGAUGCAGGAUUUCACAAGGGUCGGCAACGAUUCUUGUUAAACUCGAUCUCAAAUCAAGUAAGACUACCCGCUGAACUUAAGCAUAUCAAUAAGCGGAGGA